rnacentral:rRNA from 1 species
GACAGAGGGUGCAAACGUUGUCCGGAUUUAUUGGGCGUAAAGCGUGCGUAGGCGGCUGCGCAAGUCGGGUGUGAAACCCCGGGGCUCAACCCCGGAACUGCAUCCGAUACUGCGUGGCUAGAGGUAGGUAGGGGAGAUCGGAAUUCCUGGUGUAGCGGUGAAAUGCGCAGAUAUCAGGAGGAACACCGGUGGCGAAGGCGGAUCUCUGGGCCUUACCUGACGCUCAGGCACGAAAGCUAGGGGAGCGAACAGG